rnacentral:rRNA from 1 species
UACGUAGGGUGCGAGCGUUGUCCGGAAUUAUUGGGCGUAAAGGGCUCGUAGGCGGUCCAUCGCGUCGGGAGUGAAAAGCUGGGGCUUAACCCCAGUCCUGCUUUCGAUACGGGUGGACUAGAGGUAGGCAGGGGAGAAUGGAAUUCCUGGUGUAGCGGUGAAAUGCGCAGAUAUCAGGAGGAACACCGAUUGCGAAGGCAGCUCGCUGGGACGUCACUGACGCUGAGACGCGAAAGCGUGGGGAGCAAACAGG